rnacentral:rRNA from 1 species
UACAGAGGGUGCGAGCGUUGUUCGGAAUUACUGGGCGUAAAGCGCGCGCAGGCGGCCUUUUAAGUCUCGUGGUGAAAUGCCGGGGCUCAACCCCGUGCCCGCCGGAGAUACUGGGAGGCUGGAGACAUGUAGAGGCAAGCGGAAUUCCGGGUGUAGCGGUGGAAUGCGUAGAGAUCCGGAAGAACACCGGAGGCGAAGGCGGCUUGCUGGGCAUUGUCUGGACGCUGAGGCGCGAAAGCGUGGGGAGCGAACAGG